GAAGCAGUACGCCGGUCGUGCCUCCGGUAUGCACUGGCGUCACUGGUUCCUCCCUUCUGAAGAUCCAUCAUGCCAUUUACUUGGUGUGGUGAGGAAUCAGGACUGUUACUUUGAAAAAAUUAGAGUGUUUAAAGCAGGCACACGCUUGAGUACAUUAGCAUGGAAUAAUGAAAUAGGACGUUGAUCUUAUUUUGUUGGUUCCUAGGAUUGACGUAAUGAU
rnacentral:rRNA from 1 species